rnacentral:rRNA from 1 species
UAGUCCACGCCGUAAACGAUGGAUACUAGGUGUCGGGGGAGUCAAUCCCUUCGGUGCCGGAGCUAACGCGUUAAGUAUCCCGCCUGGGGAGUACGAUCGCAAGAUUGAAACUCAAAGGAAUUGACGGGGGCCCGCACAAGCGGUGGAGUAUGUGGUUUAAUUCGAUGAUACGCGAAGAACCUUACCUGGAUUUAACAUGGGAAUGAAAGCUUCUAGAGAUAGAAGCCCUCUUCGGACAUUCUACAUAGGUGCUGCAUGGCUGUCGUCAGCUCGUGUCGUGAGAUGUUGGGUUAAGUCCCGCAACGAGCGCAACCCUUGUCGUUAGUUGCCAUCAGGUUAUGCUGGGAACUCUAACGAGACUGCCCUUUUUUGAAGGGGAGGAAGGUGGGGAUGACGUCAAGUCCUCAUGGCCCUUACGUCCAGGGCUACACACGUACUACAAUGGUCGGUACAAAGAGUCGCAAUACCGUGAGGUGGAGCUAAUCUCAAAAAGCCGAAUCUAAGUCCGGA